GUACACUCCUGCGGGAGGCAGCAGUGGGGAAUUUUGGACAAUGGGCGAAAGCCUGAUCCAGCAAUGCCGCGUGAGUGAAGAAGGCCUUCGGGUUGUAAAGCUCUUUUGUCAGGGAAGAAACGGUGAAAGCUAAUAUCUUUUGCUAAUGACGGUACCUGAAGAAUAAGCACCGGCUAACUACGUGCCAGCAGCCGCGGUAAUACGUAGGGUGCAAGCGUUAAUCGGAAUCACUGGGCGUAAAGCGUGCGCAGGCGGUUUUGUAAGUCUGAUGUGAAAUCCCCGGGCUCAACCUGGGAAUUGCAUUGGAGACUGCAAGGCUAGAAUCUGGCAGAGGGGGGUAGAAUUCCACGUGUAGCAGUGAAAUGCGUAGAUAUGUGGAGGAACACCGAUGGCGAAGGCAGCCCCCUGGGUCAAGAUUGACGCUCAUGCACGAAAGCGUGGGGAGCAAACAGGAUUAGAAACCCUGGUAGUCCCAUGA
rnacentral:rRNA from 1 species